rnacentral:lncRNA from 1 species
CGUUUGUUUCCUUCAUGUAGAUUGCUGUGUGUGUCUUUUUCUUCAUAAUUCCCCUUAAUUCUGUGUGCUUUGAAUGACACUGUUGUUGUUACUGUUGUUUUAUAUCCAUUGUCACAUAAAACUCUUAUCAUUUAUUCUUCCAGGCCAGGGACUGUCCUUAUGGGUAGAGAUACACUAUCUGCAGGAAUUUAUUUUUUUACGUAUUUUUACUAGUUGAUGGGAAAGACAUUGGGAAAGACCUGGGCUGGAUUUGUGAUGAGCUGUGUUUACUGAGCAUGAUGAAGUAAAGCUCAACGUGAUUACUCUGAAGUCCAGCCUUACUGUCAGUCUAAGGACUCAGGAUACAAAUACUCAAAACAUAAAUUCUUAGACUCUAAAUUUCACAUGGUUUUUCCUAUCAGUACAGGUUAAGGAUAAUGGCGUGUUGUAGGUUUUUCCAGUGCAAUACAAGGAAGUUGGUUCUAGAUCCUUUAGUACAGUUAAUGUUUUGUAGAGUGUGUUCUAUGUUCACUGCAUUGGUAUGUCUCAUCUUUGGCAUGAUCUUGGCUCACCGCAACCUCCGCCUCUUGCAUUCAAGCACUUCUUGUCUCAGCCUCCAGAGUAGCUGGGAUUACAAGCAUGUGCCAACAUGCCCGGCUAAUUUUUGUAUGCUUUUGUGGAGACAGGCUUUGCCAUGUUUGCCAGGUUGGUCUCUAAGUGAUCCACCCGCCUCAGCCCCACAAAGUGCUGGGAUUACAUGCGUGAGCCACCGUACCCAGCCACACCUUUGCUUAUUUCUACUAUGCAUUUCAAGUGAUCAUUUCAAGAGAAUAAGUACUUAGGAGCUCCUAUGCUCUUUUUUUUUUUAACCCUGUUGCUUGCAUCACCCGGUUCCAACCCUAUAUGAAAGUUUCAUGAGCAUGUUUCUGUCACUGAGGCAGCUUCUCCAUUUGGCAUAUAAUUGAGAAAUUGCUAGUUUGUGGCUGAGACAUUGGUUUGAGAGGAGACGUAAUUUAUAUAUUUAGCAGAAUGCUUAAGUUACAUUUCCAGAGAUUAAUUUAAUUCUACUUUUAAUUAAGUUAACCCUUUGCUGUAUCUUUACAAGACGUAGGUGGAGAUUUAAUUUUGACUCUUAGAUUCAGUUAAGGUGAUGAAAUUGGCAUUAUAUAGUUUUUGAUGCUGAGCCCCACGGAGAUUAAAAGAUUUGCUAAACACCAUGCAAUUUUUGAAUCACAUCUCUAAUCUCACAUUAUUCUGUACUCUAUUUUUUGCUUGUAUGAUUGAUGGGUCUUUCAUUAUCUGUGAUUGACAUUCUAUGAGUAGGUGCUUUUGCUUUGCCUAUAAGUCGUUAUUAUGAAGGAGGAAUGGUGAAUAAGAAGGUAAUUUAGAAAAGCCUAUAUUAAAUAUACCAUGAACAUUGAAUAUAGCAAGAUCUUAUUCUCUAGUUGUUAUCUUAGUUGAUAAAUUCUGUAUGUGUUAUGUGUUUGUGUAUACAUAUGUACAUAUUAAUGAUGUGGGUGUUGAUACUGUGAUCACAUGACAAAUGACUGGUUUAUAGUGAAAAGCUGUUGGGGUUCAGAGAAAUGAACAUUCUUCUAAAAGUGAGGUAGAUAAGUUAUUUUAUAGUUCUUGCCUUUGAGUCUCUGUUCUUCUGGUAGAAAUGUUAGUGUAUUUAUAACCUCUCAGAUUUGUUUGGUUCUCUUAGUGUUCUUGAUCCAGGCAGUUAGCGAUAUGUUGGAUGAAUUGAGAAAAAUGAGUUUUUCCUUUCCUACUAACUGAAUUAGAUUAGAAAUAAGCAGUUAAGUGAGAAAAAUAGGGAAUUAGUGCCAGAUAUGUUGAGGUGUAGUGUUGACAGGGGGUCUUUUACCUUCAGAUGUUUGGUGCAACUUAGAGAAUGCAGUGGUAGUUGCUGGCCCAGCCCAUCCAAACAACCUCAUUUGUGGGGUGAUACUUCACAGAUGACUUAAAAUAAAUCCCCUGAAAAUAAGAAUCUCUGGAAGAGAUGACACGUGUAUGUGCGUGUGUGCACGUGUGUGCGUGUGUGCACGUGUGUGUGUGUGUGUGUUUUGGUGGAGUGGUAGGAGGAGGGUUGGCUUAAUGAUGAGAAUCAUUAUUUCUUGAAUUGGAUGACACUUUCCAUUCCUGCAAAGGGAGCGUGAGGUCCAGCCUUGCUAAUUCAUGAUCAAAGUAAUUUGCUGAGAGUAGUGGAAGGAAUGAGUUAGCAGAAGAUGGCAAAUUGCAUUAAUGAGUAGUAGGAGGAAAACAAAUAAGCAAAUUUUAAUGUGGUUGGAACAUGUUCCUGAGUUGUAUGAAGGGAGACAGGUAAAUUGAGAGUAAUGUUAUGAUUGUUUCAUUUGUUGGAAAUAAGGAAAACUUGCAUGGUUUGAAUUGUGGAACAAUAGGUGGUGUAUGUUAGGAGUCAGAAUUAUCAUUUAACAUGUAAGUUUCUGUUUUACUUCAGAUAAAGAAUGUCAGCUACCUUUCCCAUGUUAGCUUCUAUACCUUUUCUUGAGGUGACCAUAAAUAGGUAAUAUUGUCUUUCACUGAGAUUGUUUUAAUUAGCGAAGUGUGCUGAUUAAAUGUCUUUUCUUGAUAAAUUAUUAGAAUGAAUAAAGGAUGGUAUUUCUAGAUAGCCUUGGUUAGUCAGUGAUUUGUUUAAAUUUAGUGUGGAUAAGAAUCACCUGAGGGCUUUUUAAACACAGUUUACUGGGUCCUGACCUUAGUGUUUCUGGCUUAUUAGGUAUAAGUAUGAGAAGUUGAUUUUUAUCAAGUUUCUAGAUGCUACAGAUCUAGGAACCAUACUUAGAGUGCUAUUAUAUGUCUUUUAAUGUACACUGAUAUGGAAAAAGCAAUGAUACAUCAUGUUAUCGCAUAUUUUAAAAUGUGAUCAUGACCAGGGAAUCUUGAAAGUUGUCUUAUGUAAUAAUGUAAAUCAAUGUAGAAUACCAUAUAUUUUUUUCUUGCAAGGUUAUUAUUAAUAGGAAUGACUAUUUGUAGCCAAUGUGUUCAAAUGCAUGGGAGGACGUAAACACUUCAUAAUUUCCUGGAAAUACAGACAUAUAUCACUUAAAAUAAUACAUUUCUAAUAUAAAUUUAAAUUAUCUACGUGAUAUGAGGAAACGAGCUUAUUUUUGAUAAUUUUCCUAGCAGUGAAUCAACUAUACUCAUUUGAAUCUAAAUUAAAUUAAAUUUGAGUAAAUUCAGCCAUUUCUAAAUUCAGUCCAUAUAAAUUCACUUUGGGUAAAAGAAGACAAAAUUCCUGAAAACAGUAGAUUAAAAAAAUAACAUUUUAAGAGCAGGUAUGAUCUCAAUGAAUAUAGUGUGGUAAUUUCUGCCUAAUACCUACCCUUUUGGAGGAAGGAAAGGUAAUCCUGUUUGUGUUUAAUGUUAAUUACUGAACUCUUUAUAACUUGUUUUAUUUAUUUAUUGUUUGAUUUUAAGCAUCUGCUUCUGGUGGACUUACAUAUGUUGGGUUUGGGAAAUUUCAACAUACAGGUUGGCAUUCCAGUGGCUAUAGUUGUUUCUUGAAAUUUAGUACUGUUUUCCAAUGAUGAUUCUCUUUGGGAAUAGGCUGUUCUCUUUUACUUAAAAACUGUAAAAUUAGCCACUUCAGUUGAGACUCCUCCAGGUUUGGAAGUGGUGAAGAAUAUGGAUAUAUUCAGAUCAAAUCAGUCAUUCUCUGUGAUACAGCAACUGAACAAGAAACCCAGACUUCAAACAAGCAGACUUCUUUGGGUUGGACUGAAUAAAAUGAGAAGAAAUUACAGAGGAUUUGAAAAUGUAUAUGGCCUAGGAAUUAUUGAAAUUAUUUUGGAGGGUGGCAACAAAUUUGGGACAUUGUACUUUCUGUUUUAAUGUCAAUUGUAUAAUGUGUAACUCUAGUGAGCAUGGCUGGAUACCGUGGCUUCACAUUUUAGGUAGACUGGGUGUUUUAUCUACUGAGUGAAUUACAGCCUUCGGCAAUGAUGUCAAGGUAGCAACAAAACCCAAAAAAUCCAUCCUUUAGAAAUUGUUUUAAGUCACAAUGAUGAUACCUUCUUUAAAAGCUUUGACUUACUGAAAUAAUGCUUUUCAUUUGUCCAAGAUGAGUACAUAGCAGAAUUUGGAAAUAUGGUUCCAAAAGGCUAAAUAGACUGACUUUUUUGAUAUUUUUCCCUUAUAGGGAGAAAGAAACAUUAACGGUUUAUCAGAUGCCUUGACUGUACUUUUUACUGCUUUGUCUUCAAGGCCUAGUGUAAUAAUUAACAUCUAGUAUGUGUUUGAUGGAUAGCCAAUUUUUGCUUCAUUGGUAUGUUGUUACCACAGUCAUUGGUAGAGUCAAUAUAUGAAUGAAGAAAGUAUAACAAAUUUGCCCUCUAGUAGAGUACAGGCAAAGUAUGGCCGUCAGUUUCACCCUGAUUUUUUUUCCUCCAUUCUUUUUUAGGGUUUAGGUCAAGAACAAGGGCAUUUCAUUGUACCACAUAGCUGAGAGUAGGGAAUUGGGACAUACUGUCUUGCUUUAAAUUAAAGUUGUCUGUUUCAUCAAGUAGAGAGGUUCCUAAGAUAUUGCCAGAUUUCUGACUCGGGGUUUGUUAAAAAUAGAAAAGGUAGUUCCUUAAGGUUGUAUUUUAUUGGAUGCCUCCACCUGCUUCAGGCUAGCUCACUGGAGAAUAAAUAUUCCAGGUUAAAAAAAAAAAAGCAUGUGUUCACGUGAACUUGUCCUUUGAGCAAACCUGUUGGAAAUCAAGAGGUCAUUGCUGUUGGAGAGGAUAAGAGGGUGUACUUGUUGGUGUGUUAAGAGUAGUUCACAACAUAAAAAUAAAUGUAAAUGCAUCUAUUAUAUUUGGGUUGGCAAAAUAUAUUGGUUAUUUACUCUGUUGAUUCCUGUAGUGUACAUAAAUAUGAUCUACAACUCUGUGAACAAAAAGGCUUGAAAAAUUGUUCUGAAAAUGGACAAAUCAUGAACAGAUAAUUGAACAAGAAAAUAAGCAGAAAGUAAAUUUGUGAAAUAUUUCAAACUCAUUUACAUUCAGAAACAUCUUUUUAAGAUCACUGUGAUACAUUCGACUGUCAAUUCUGAAGAGACGUAUAAAGGAAAUGCCAGCUAAGGAGCAAGGAAACAGCUUUCAUUCAUGGGCUAAAUUGCAGCUUAAAAAAGAUGGACCAGGAUUAUUUCCUUUAGAAACUUACUGUACAAAAGAUACUGUUCACCCCAUUAGAGAACUGAUUUGAAGUUACUCUUCCCUGUGAGGGCUCUGUCAUCUUAACUGUAUUCACAUACUUUCAACUGUUCCCCUUGCUGCUAACCUCAGGUUCUUUAGUUCAUCUAUCUGGCAGAGCUGAUUUGGGGAAAACAAGACAAACCUUCUCAGGUUUUCUUAAUAAAUAAGCAGUUGUCAUGUUUCAAGAGUUUUAGAAAUGAGCAAUAAUCAAGGAAGAGGACAACGAUUGCAUACGUUUAUAAUAUUUAGAACAUCUUUUGCCACAAUAAACACUGGAAACCACCCACUUGUGGACACCAAACAUUUGGAUUUGUAUAUUUUGUGGCAUUCCCUCACUCUAAUCCUCUCAUCCUUAAAAAUUUUCAGAAAUUUUUGCAGCAACAAACACUGAUUGCAACAUAUGAUUUAGGGUAGAUUUAUGAACCAUUUUUUCACUGAAAUACAUCAACAGGAGUGAGUAGUCUGAGUGACCACCCCAGCAUGGAGAAAACUGUAGUUUACAGAUUCUUCUGGAGCAUUUUUAUUUCUAGAUUGCGGUGGAAGUCUAACCCCCCUUGGAGAUGUCUGCCUUAAAGGGUCUUUGGCCAGGGUCCUCUGUAGAGCCAUAGUCCAGAUCUACUCUAUUUGUGUGCUCCUUACAACAUCAGAACAGCAACUCUCAAUCCGGAUUCAUCCCCAGAAUGCCGUCUGAGUCACAGCGUGGCAGGUGCAUAAAGAAUUAUCUACUGAAUUGAGAAACAUUUCAAAUAUAUAAAACUUGAAAUAUUUUGGGUAGUCUGUACAAACUCAAGUUGACAAGCCAACCCUGCAGGAAUAUAUGGAUAGAAGGGGAAGGAUAACAUGUUGAAUUCAGCUACAUGCCUCAUCAGCUAGAAAACCUUGGAAGAAAGAAAGAUAGAUUGAUACUUGCCUGAACUUCAUCAACCAAUAAUAUUUUUUUUCUUGCUAUGGAGAGUCCACUCGCCUUUGGAAGAUUUACCAGUAAAAGCCCUGCACAUGAUAUACUUGUGUGCACAUGCAAUAAGGACAUCAUUCCCCAACUCCUGCUAGCAUUGUGAAAGAGCUCCAAAUAUUCAAAUAAUAUAAACUUUUUUUCGUGGACAUUUAGCUUACGAGUUUGUUUAAAUAUGUGGGAAAAUUAUGUUUAGAUAAUAGUAUUGAAAUGAGAAUGUAAGAUACACAUUGAAUGAUAAAUGUGUAUGAAUUGUUCAUUGUGCCUUAGGUAAGCCAGACAGUGAAAUUAAAUGUGUAAUAGUUGUAUUUUUUUGCAUAAUCUUGGAAUGUAAUUAGUUAAAAGCAAACACUUAGAUUUUGAACAUGAAUCUGUUAAGCUUGUUAAUGUAGUUGCUGUGGCUAAAUAACUGGUUUCCUGGGGAAGCUUCUAUUUGCUAGAAUUUUAUUCUGGAACAGUUGUUAGAAAGGAAUUCUCAGGUCACCUUUUAAAGAUAUACACAAUUCUGUAUUCACUUUUUGAGUGCAUAAGGGUAAUAGAAAAUGACAUGGGAAGCGUUAAUUAGAAAAAAAGGCAUUUUGUUUAUGUGCAUUUGAGGAUACAGUGUUUGAAGUUUCUAAAUAAUUGUUUUAUGACAUUUUCUUGGUACAUAGAUAUUGCUAACAAUUAGUUUGCUGAAGUAUGUAGAAACAUUUUAAGAAAUGAUUUUAGAAAUAUAAUUGUUAAAGUACCUCUGAUGUAUAUUAAAAAUCCUUUUAUUUUGGUUUAUAUUGCUAUGGAUGUUUUUCUGGGGGAACUUAAUGUAUACAACUUCUAACUAAGAAGUUUUAUUAAUGCUGCUUUAUGUAUGAAAGUCAUGGAUGUGGAUGUUAUUUUGUCAGUGGUCUUUCUGUUAAAAUUUACGUGGUGUAAGAUUUUCUUUUCAUGAUGGAAUUGCCAAAAAGGCCAGCCUCUAGAACACUUACAUGUUAAGGGUUGGGUGGGAUUUGUAUUACUUUGUGUAUAUAACCGACAGGAUUGUGUUACUGAAUCUUAACCAGCAUAGAGAUGGCUGACAUUUUGCAUUUUGGGGGACAUUAAAUUGUUACACAAUGAUGUCAUUGGUUACUGAUAGGAGUGUUUAGACUCUUAGAUGGCUUUGUUAGUAUUAGGCAAAUAUUAGAUGUGGAUUUAGGAGAUAAGAGGGUGGGGUGUUGGAGCCCUGUGUGCACAUGAGCAUAUGUUGCAGGGCCUCCAGACCUAAAUCCACGUGAAGAUGGUGGUGGUGGUCUUACCUAUAUGUUAACAUUACAUUGUAAACAGGUAGACUACUUUCCUUUUGCUAGUGGGAGUGUUAAAUCACCUCUCAGAACAUUAAUUCAUUAAAUUGCCCCUAAACAUUAAUUGAUUGCUGGUGGAUAUGCUAAAUAUUUUUAACAUCUAUUUUUCUAAAUGUAUAGAUGUCAUUUUUAAUUCAUAGGGGAUAGAACCAGUUUUGCUUGCAAAAAGCAAACUGUUCACUGGAUCAUUGGGCUUAAUUUUUAGGUUGUGGUAGAUAUAAUAGAAAUGUUCUUACAAUUUGUAGUAUAAUACUGUAUAUCUCUAUAAAUAUAUAUGUGACUGUUUUUCUGAUAGAUGCAACAUGGUGGAAAUGUCAUCAUAAAUGUCGGUCUGCCUUUGUUUAUAGUUUUCAGAUGUGUAUAUGCAGUUUUUUAUACAACAGAAAAAUUGCCACAUGAGUCAAAUAGCAUAGGUUAGAAAAGUUCUCAUUUGCCAAAAAUAUGUGACUUUCAUAAUAGUGAGUUGUUUUUGAUUUAAAAUGUUUCUAUCUGUAGAGGCAUUUUAUAAGUUUUUAUGGGGAUACUAGCAAUGGGAUGUGAAACCUGAGUUCAUUAGAUCAUUGGGUGAUAAUGGAACCCUUAUGUGUAUACAAUAUACAUGGUUAUAUGUUUUUUAAAGCAUAGGAGCUAUUAUGUCUGCAUGGUUCUAAAUAUAUAUACACACACGUAAACACAUAUCUAUAUAUCUAUCUAUAUAGAUAGAUAGAUAAAUACAUACAUAUGUAGUGAAAGCUUUUGUUUCCUCCCUCACAUAGGCAGAUUAUUUGUGUGUGUAAAUGAGCAGCUGAAGGGGAAUUUUGUUACAUGUGUAUAAGACAGUCACAAUAUAUAAUUGUUUUGCUUUAAUUGUUUAGUCUUUGAUUUGUAGGAAUUGCCAACACGUAUAUUUGUGUGUAUGCAGGUUUAUAUAUAAAUACAUAUCACUGUAUAAACAACAUUUAUUGUCAUAGGAUAGAAAUAUUCUUAAGUUGCCAGAGAUACUGUAUGGCUGCUAAAUGUAUAGUAGAAAAAUGUUACCUUUUGCUUUUUAGCAUCUGCAUACAGAUUACUAAUAGGCGUAUAUUGUGACCAGUAAACCACUAGACAAGGGCAUAAACACUUUAGUUUGAUCAGUAGAAUUGCUAUGCCAUGUUUAAAUGGGAUUUAUUUGGUUGAUGCAGAAUAUAUAAUUGUAUCUAGAAGAUAAAUAUUACAAAAAUAUUUUAAUAUACAAUUUCUGUCAUAUUUUUGGAAAUAUAUUUUUAUUCAAAAGUAGAAUCAUUGUUGCCAAUAGAGUUAGCAUCUUUGUGUGCUUGUGAGGUUUGAUUUUGAGGGUUUUCUUGGUUUUGUUUUGGGUUCUGGAGUUCUAAAAAAUGAGAUUGUCUUUGUCUAAACAAUUUUUAUAUAAAAAUGUACAUUUUUGUAUUAUUUUUUCUUAUUCCAACCUAAUCGGUGGCUUGUCCCUUCCUGUGUUUAUUGGGCUGUUGGGUGCCUGGAUAGAGCUGGAGACCAUUUAACUGCUGUAUGAAUAAUAGAUAAGCGUCUUGAAUAACAUCUGAAUUUCCUAGUUGUCAUGUCAACCCUCCUAUCUGCGGGUUUUGCAUCUGCAAGCACAUGCAGCUGGAAAGUACAGCAUUGGCAGAAUCUGAAACCCGAGUAAAGAGCACCUCAUUUUCAUAACCAUGGGUUCUGAAGAGCUAAGGGAGUUGAGGAUGCACCGAUUUUGGUAUGGGGGUACGGUACAGGUACAAAUCCCCGAUGGAUAUCACUAGACAACUGUACAAUCCUCUUUAGCUUUUUUUUUGUUUUAUAGACAGUGUGGACGUGCAUAUAUUGCAAGCAUCACUUUGUUAAACUAUGCUUAACCCUGCAAAUGAUUUUAAGAGCUCUGUGUGGGUGGCUUUCUUGGGUUUACUAUUAAAUAUCUGUGUUUAUCAUAGUUGUUCUAUAACAUUUCAACUUUGUAAAUAUGUAGUUUGUUGAUAAAGAGGAUAGAGACAUUUUUCUUUUGUUGAUAGAUUGUUCUUUCCCCUUUGCUUAGUCUUCAUUGUGUUGCUGGGAUUGUAAAAGACAAAUUACUUGCACAUAUUUAAGCUUAUAUAUUAAAUGUAUAUAUGCUGUCAUGUUAGAGAGGGAGAGUGGUUCCCUCCCCCACAUUUUGAUUUAAAAGUAAAAAUUAAUUUUUAUUAAAUUGUUUGGGUCAGUUUCAUGUAAGAAUAAUCUCUACAUUGAAUGGUAUAUCUUGGCCGGGUGCGGAGGCUCACGCCUGUAAUCCCAGCACUUUGGGAGGCCGAAGGGGCCAGAUCACGAGGUCAGGAGUUCGAAACCAGCCUGGCCAAUAUGGUGAAACCCCGUCUCUACUAAAAAUACAAAAACUAGCCGGCCGUGGUAGUGCACAUCUGUAAUCCCAGCUACUCGGCAGUCUGAGGCAGAAGAAUAGCUUGAACCCAGGAGGCAGAAGUUGCAGUGAGCCAAGAUCGCGCCACUGCACUCCAGCCUGGGCGACAGAGUGAGACUCCCUCUCAAAAAAAAAAAGGUAUAUCUUAUUUUCUUUGAUGUACUGAGGUUCAUGAUGCAAUUCAUUCUUAAGCAUAUACUAUAGAAUCUUUAAAUUAUAUGGUUCUGUGUUCAUUUGUGGCAUGACAGUAACCAAGACAAUUUAGUAAAUAAUCAGCAAAUGAAAUAUUUAAUUUUGAACAUCUAGUAUUUCUAGAUGUAUAGAGAGUCUCACGAAGUAGAUUUUUUAAGUAUCUUGUUGUAAAUUUGUUAGUACUGUUGUCUUUUGCAAUUAAUGUGGCAAUGAAAUUGAUUAUUGAUACACAGGCUCUUGGAGCUAAACAAAAUUUAUCGUGUUUUAAUUUGGAUAUUAGAAGGAGGAAAUGAAAAGAGACUCUCUACAUUUUACCUGUUAUUAUAUAGCUUACCAUUAUAUCAGAUAUGAAUUGCUUUUUUUAAAAAACUUAGAUUAAAUGUCAUGUAAAUGCAUUUAGUCUUUCCAGAUACACUUCUUGAUAUCAUAAUUUUUAUUUCCUGUUAAUAUUCAAGAUAUAAAUGACUUCAUUAAAGAGAUUUUCUACUACCUCUAGGAACUAUACAAUAUUCUGUAUGUGUUCCCUUGGUUGCAUGACAAUAUUCAAGACAACUUUGUAAAUAAUAGAUAAAAAAUUUUAAUUUUUAACAUCUAGUCUUUCUAGAUGUAUAGAGUCUCACAAAGUAUAAUUUUGUAAAUAAGUCAUUGUAAAAUUUCAUGGUUUCAUUGUGUUUUGCAAAUGUCUUGGCAAAGAACUUGAUAAAAUUUUGGGCUUCUUGACCUAUACAUAUUUUGGUAUCUCUUUAUUGGGUUGUUUAGUGUAAGGAAAAAGUUGAAAGAAUGUAUUUUCAACUUUGAAUUGUAAUCAGAAAGAAAAUAUAUUUUAACCAUUGUUUAGUGCUUCUGUUAUAUAUUGAAAACUUCAGUCUUAAUUUUUUAGUUACAUUGUUGAUAGGGCAUUAUAUAAAUAUACUUCUAUAGUCAUUGUAGGAAAUGUCUUUUAUAAGGAAAUAUUUCUUCUACCUCUGAAUUACACAGUUUUGUAUUUACUUGGACUGCAUGGCAACAUUCAAAAAACACUUUGAAUAACAGAUAAAAAUGACAUUUUCUAAAGCUCUAGGUUUGCUAGAUGCAUGAAGUCUCAGCAAAGUAUAAAUUUGUAAAUAUUUCAUUGUAAAAUAUCAUAAAUUGACUCCUUCAAGUGUUCAGUAGUACAAUAGGUAAUCAAUAAUUGGCCUCUUGGGACUGACUGUAACGUUUUGGUGUUUGUAUGUUUUGAGACAGAGCAAUAGAUUGCCUCCAUAUCUUUUAAACAUUCAGGUCUCUUGUAUAAGAAAAAUAACCAUUGUGGGGUUUUUGUGCAUCUUAUACUAAUAUGAAACAAACAAAACCCCCUGGAUAUUUUAUCCUUAGAAAGAUAGAGGAAGACAGGAGAAGGGAAUGGUCAUUGUAAAUUAGAUAGAUAUAUUGAGUGUUAGAAGAUUAUUUAAAUAAUUGUUCUUUUGUUAUUUGUACUCUUUGCAAAUUUAUUUAAAUGCAUAUUCAUGUAUAUCAUAAGUAUAUAUUCACAUGCAUGUCUAAAUUUAGUGGCAUAGAUCUAUCUCAGGGGUAUUAAUCUUUCAUUCGUGUACUGAUUUGUGUUUUAUUUUCAUUUAAAAAAUUGUGGAACCAGUGGCUGGGCAUGGUGGCUCAUGCCUGUAAUCCCAGCACUUUGGGAGGCUGAGGCGGGUGGAUCACCUGAGGGUCAGGAGUUCGAGACCAGCCUGGCCAACAUGGUGAACCCCCCCGUCUCUACUAAAACUACAAAAAUUAGCUGGGCAUGGUGGUAGAUGCCUGUAAUCCCAGCUACUCGGGAGGCUGAGACAGGAGAAUUGCUUGAACCCUGGAGGUGGAGGUUGCAGUGAGCCGAGAUUGCACCAUUGCACUCCACCCUAGGCAACAAGAGCAAAACUCUGUAUAAAAAAAAAAAUUAAAAAAAUUGUGGAACUAGUGUUUUAUUUCUAAGCUUGCAGAUAUUUCUAGAAUUCCACUUACUGUUACAUCUAAAUGUAUGCUGAUUUUUCGUUAAAUAAUAAGCAGGUCUGUAAACAUUUUCUUUUCUAACCUCUUUCCAUAUUUAUAUGAGUAUAGAAAAACUGUGGUUAUGAAUAUUUUUUACUUUUUGAUAACUUUUAAAAACUAUCAGAUAUGUGAUAAUCAGAUAGAUUUCAAGUUUACUUACGGUGUAAAUUAGGAAAAUUUUUAUAAAGAUUCUAUCCAGUAUUGAUCAAAAGUAUAAAUUGUGUGUCUUUUUAAGCAGCAGUUUGGCAAUGACAAUCAAAUUGAUACUAUGUAAAAGUUUUGAAAUGUUAUAGCUGGCUACUGGGGUUUUUAUCUAUUCCAGUUCUCGAAAAUUUACCAAAUAUAGGUUGGCUGUAAAAUCAUAACUAUCUGAGGUAUCUGUCAAUAAAUCAAAGAUUGCAAUGAUGAUAGCUUCUUUAACAUGAAUGUAAUUCUAACAGUAAAAAAUUUCUAUAUGGAAUAUGUUUUGUAGUCCUAAAUUGAUAUUUUAUAUCAUUUUUCAGUGAACAAGUAGUUGUUUACAGGUGUCUGUGCAUAUGUCUCAAGUUUUUCUAACUAAAAUAUUAAUAGUUAAGUCUAAAAAUAUGAAUUAUACGUGGGGCUUGUCAUUCUGACAUUUAAUACUUCAGCGUGGUGAUAAUGGUGAUAUAAUAUACUGUUUGAAAUUGUAACACAUGAGUUAAAAUCAAAAGAUUGAUAAGUACAUAUUUGUAUAUUGCUACAUGACAAAAAUCUAGGAAGAAUAUGAUUCACAUGAAAAUUCUUUGGAAGGACAUGACAGACUUUUAACAGUCCUGUAUAGUGAAAGGAGAAUAGAACGACUACUUCUACUUUCUGUAUCUGAAAUUUUCAAAAGCUAUUUCAAAAUGAACAUUUAAACAACAGGAAAUUUUAGAGACAACCACUUUGUGCCUGUCUUCAUCCUUGACAUUCAACAUCCUAGGAACAAUGGGCUGUUGUAUUCAACUUCUUAUUCCCAACAGCCAUUAUGAAUGGUUUUUGAUUGAUCUCACAAAGAGCAUGUGCUUUAGACAUUAAUGCAGCGACUACCAUGAAACAGAGUAUUGGAUUACCUAAGGAAAGAAGCAGAGGAUGGAAUUUGAGGUAGGUGUCAAACAGUGAAAUUUCGUUUGAGAAACAGAUGAGUGAAAGAAAAUAGUAA